GUCUGGUUGGCUCAGUCGGUUGAGUGUCUGACUUUGGCUCAGGUCAUGAUCUCGCGGUCCGUGAGUUCGAGCCCCGCGUCAGGCU
rnacentral:tRNA from 1 species